rnacentral:rRNA from 1 species
GUCGCACGAGAAAGUGGAGCAAUCCAUGAGUAAAGUGGCGCACGGGUGAGUAACACGUGAAUCAUCUACCUCCGAGUGGGGAAUAACCUAGAGAAAUCUGGGCUAAUACCGCAUAACACUUACGAGUCAAAGCAGCAAUGCGCUUGGAGAGGAGUUCGCGGCCGAUUAGUUAGUUGGCGGGGUAAUGGCCCACCAAGACGAUGAUCGGUAUCCGGCCUGAGAGGGCGCACGGACACACUGGAACUGAAACACGGUCCAGACUCCUACGGGAGGCAGCAGUGGGGAAUUUUGCGCAAUGGGGGAAACCCUGACGCAGCAACGCCGCGUGGAGGAUGAAAUAUCUUGGUAUGUAAACUCCUUUCGAUGGGGAAGAUUAUGACGGUACCCAUAGAAGAAGCCCCGGCUAACUUCGUGCCAGCAGCCGCGGUAAUACGAGGGGGGCAAGCGUUGUUCGGAUUUAUUGGGCGUAAAGGGUGCGUAGGCGGUUUGAUAAGUCUGAUGUGAAAUCUAUGGGCUCAACCCAUAGUCUGCAUUAGAAACUGUCGGGCUUGAGUAUGGGAGAGGUGAGUGGAAUUUCCGGUGUAGCGGUGAAAUGCGUAGAUAUCGGAAGGAACACCUGUGGCGAAAGCGGCUCACUGGACCAUAACUGACGCUGAUGCACGAAAGCUAGGGGAGCAAACAGGAUUAGAUACCCUGGUAGUCCUAGCCCUAAACGAUGAUUGCUUG